rnacentral:rRNA from 1 species
UACGUGAGGCGGAGCAAAACACAAAACACAGUCUCAGUUCAGAUUGUAGGCUGAAACUCGCCUAUAUGAAGUCGGAAUUGCUAGUAAUCGCGGAUCAGCAUGCCGCGGUGAAUACGUUCCCGGGCCUUGUACACACCGCCCGUCACACCAUGAGAGUCGAUAACACCCGAAGCCUGUAGUCUAACAGCAAUGAGGACGCAGUCGAAGGUGGGAUUGAUAAUUAGGGUGAAGUCGUAACAAGGUACC